rnacentral:lncRNA from 1 species
UUGUUGGAGAAUACAAUGCAAGCUUCUAGAGUGUUCUCAAUAUUACAAGAAAGAAGACAUUACUAUGGAAUACUCUAGAAUAUAAAAUAAAUAAAAGAGGGAACCUUCUAGUGUUUAGAUAUGCAUAAAGAAGCUUUGGAAUACUCUAGAAUAGGAGUUUAAAAUAAAUAAAUAGGAAACCUUCUAGUAUCUAGAUAUUUAUGUAGAAGUGUGUGGAAGGCUUUAGAUAUUUUGUAUCAAUGGCUAAGAUUUUGACACAUGUCAAAAAUCCAAUGGCCAUGUAGUCCUAUAAAUAGAGGCCCUUGCCUCACACCUUGUGUAGUAGAGAAUAAGAAAGUGAAGAAGGUGGAGAACAAGGUGUGAGCAAGUGUAAGGUGUGUAUGCUCUCUCUUGUACUAAUAUUCCUAAAGCAAUAUAGUACUAUUUUGUUCAUAUAAGUCUCCCGGUUAGGCCUUGUUAUUUCUAAGUACUUAGUGCAUAUAAGUUGUGAUUUAACGUGAGCGGAUUCGCCCGGAAUCACAACGGUCUUGUUUCAACGUGAGUGACAUAGCCGCCCGGAUUCAAGACUUGCUUUAACGUGAGUGGCUCUGCCGCCCGGAAGCUUGCACUAAGUAAAUAGAAAUAAAAAGGGACUAAUCAACUACACCAAAGUAGUUGGUAUAGGUGAGUAGGCCCUCUCGUAGUGUGUUAGGUCCACCUCGAAUUCUCUACAUACUUAUUUUAUAAAUUUGAUCAAACUUUAAAUGUUUUGAGUCGGGACAAAGGGAAGACUUGUUACAUUUAGGAAAGCCACACAUGGCUGCGUUACAAAAGCAAAACCACAUGGCACGAACACACAUGACAGACGAUCAAAGAGCGCGUUCGGGGCGGACCAAAGAUGAGGUGACCUAGAGAGGCAUAGGACAUGAACUCAAAUUUUCAAAUUGCAAUAGUGUUCUCUUCAUCAAUUUCUAAGAAAGAAAAACAUGAAAAAUUUGAAUUUAAACAAGAAAUGCCCAACUAAAACCAUUUGCCUCCACUCAAAUUUAUUUCUUUGAUCGAUCGACCUGCAGGCCAUGUCAUCAUCUCCGCUUGUUCCUGCUUCCCAGCACGAGCGUGAGGUAGAAGAGCACCCGGAAUAAGAACCC